CACGUAGGCACCAAGCGUUGUCCGGAUUUAUUGGGCGUAAAGAGCUCGUAGGCGGUUCAGUAAGUCGGGUGUGAAACUUUGGGCUUAACCCAAGCGUGCAUCUGAUACUGCUGUGACUUGAGUUCGGUAGGGGAGUGGGAAUUCCGUAGUGUAGCGGUGAAAUGCGCAGAUAUUAGGAGGAACACCGGUGGCGAAGGCGCCACUCUGGGCCGAAACUGACGCUGAGGAGCGAAAGCAUGGGUAGCAAACAGG
rnacentral:rRNA from 1 species